AUUCAUGCAUUGAGUCUUAAUUCCCUUACAUACAGAUUUGAAGGAUUCACUUUAGUACAAAAAGCAUGGGGUUAUCAUUCACCUAGUUGUUGGUUAUUUGUUGAGAAAAAGAUGUGUAUCUUGGUGGUCGGUCUUUGAUGUUGCCGGUGAGACUGCUCAAGUUUGAAGAGAUUGUAUCACAAAUUCCUAUCACUGUUGUGGAGGAAGAUUAGAGAUCUCAAGGAAGAGAUUGUUCCCAUGGACCUGUUAUAUAUGAUGGUGAGUUUGUUUUUGAAGCUGCUCAGAUCUUUGCAUCGUUCAAUGAUAUAAUUAUGGUUGACUACUAAACCAUCCUAUGCACACCAUCCAUUAUGCAGCUAGAGCUUGGCCUGGUUGAAAUCUUUGUCAGUCUGUGCAGACUAUAGUGGCAGUCUUACUAUCAUGAAUGUUGGAUUUUCUGUAUUUUUGCCGAUGUGUACAUAGUUGUACUCUACUCUGAAUUAAAAAAUUUAAGAAGUGAAAAUUAUAUAUUCAUAUGGGUACUCUUUUUAUAGUUUU